GUGUGUGUGUGUGUGUGUGUGUGUGUGUGUGUGUGUGUGUGUGUAUGCGCGCCUCCCUCCUGCCUCCCCCAGGCCUCACU
rnacentral:miRNA from 1 species